UGUAAUUACCUUUUCUUUUACAGGGUAUAUACUUCCCAUUAGCUAGCAAAUGCCAUUAUUUAAACAAAUGCACAUUUAAAUUGUCUGCAGCUCCAAAUAUAAAGUACCACAAAAUAACAUGUGGACUUUACCAUGAUGCCAGUUAUAUCCUGGCUUUGUUGAUUACUGUGAAUAGUUGGGCAGUAGUGGGUGACAGUGGCCACUAGGCUCAAUAAGAUACUGCCUACUCCCAAUGUCUAUGAUGAUCUAGUCCAGAAACG